CUAUAAAAAGGUUGCUGCGCAGCUCGCUCGUUACAGUUAUCUGGUGUGCGUUGCAGCGAUACGUCAUAGUGUUCGAAAAUUAGGCAGCAGUAAAGGUGUGUGUGUGUGUAUACCAAAUUUUUUUCUUGAAUCACCUGAAUAUACAAAUUGAAAAAGUAUAAAAAUGGUUGCAUACUACGACGAAUGCGACGCCGCAGAAAAUCCCAAAACAUUAACAGAUUGGUCGCAAUCAUGUGCAAGGCUGUUAUAGAUUGUAAUGAAAUAAUGAAGGAUUGGAAGAGUGUGAGAAGACGAUGAGCAAACGGCCUUCAAUUCAUUGAAAUGGUGUGAGUCAUUGGCGCUGCUUCAUGAAAUCCAUGCUGAACGCCACCAGAAAGAGGCUUUGGUUCAGGAUUCACACUCGUUUCCUGCUCCUCGAUACGUUAAUGGCAACGAUGAGGAGGAAUGGAAUACUUGAACAAGCAACCACAACGUCAACAGCCUGAAGCUGAAACCGAAACCCAAACGAAAUGCCUUAAAAUGGCUUAUAAAGAAGUUACGUCGAUCGACGAUGGUUUGUUAUUGAGUUACUGAGUGAGUCUUCACGUCUGUCCGUGUCUUCCCCAACCUCAACGCUUGGCAGCGAGUUCCGUAAACCAGCCGAUGGCCGAUUCUACACAGAUCGCCGGAGCAGCGAGCAGCGAGCAGCAGCAGCAAACACCACCGAGUCUCCCCUGCAUGACAUGCCAAUGCCACAGGCAGCUGACAAAGAACAAUGGGGACAAGGCGGAAUUGCGAGCGGCAGCAGCUCCAGCUCAUCAGCUUACGUGUGAUUGAAGCUCUCGUGCCCAUGUCGGUGCUGAAUUCACCAGCUACCACGACAUUUCUACAUAGAACGCUUCGCAGUUGCUGACCACACCACCCACCCAUCCACACAGAUACACGGUAUUUGGUAUAUCAGCUGCGAACGAAAAAUAUUGCUUUUUGAACA